UCGAACGAUGAAGCCCAGCUUGCUGGGUGGAUUAGUGGCGAACGGGUGAGUAACACGUGAGUAACCUGCCCUUAACUCUGGGAUAAGCCUGGGAAACUGGGUCUAAUACCGGAUAGGAGCGCCUACCGCAUGGUGGGUGUUGGAAAGAUUUAUCGGUUUUGGAUGGACUCGCGGCCUAUCAGCUUGUUGGUGAGGUAAUGGCUCACCAAGGCGACGACGGGUAGCCGGCCUGAGAGGGUGACCGGCCACACUGGGACUGAGACACGGCCCAGACUCCUACGGGAGGCAGCAGUGGGGAAUAUUGCACAAUGGGCGAAAGCCUGAUGCAGCGACGCCGCGUGAGGGAUGACGGCCUUCGGGUUGUAAACCUCUUUCAGUAGGGAAGAAGCGAAAGUGACGGUACCUGCAGAAGAAGCACCGGCUAACUACGUGCCAGCAGCCGCGGUAAUA
rnacentral:rRNA from 2 species